GACCACUCAUUUUGGCUUAGUGGUUAGAGCUUCCGCCUCGGAUACUGGAGGUUACGGGGUCGAACCCCAUCCGAGUCA